rnacentral:rRNA from 1 species
AAAACAUGUCUUUUUGAUAAAAAUUUAAAGUCCGGUCUGCUCACUGAAUUAUUUUAAAGAGCCGCAGUAUAUUGACUGUGCAAAGGUAGCAUAAUCAAUAGUUUUUUAAUUGAAAACUAGAAUGAAAGAUUAGACGAAAAAUUAAUUUUCUUUGUUUUAAUAAAUUUAAUUUUAAAUUUAAGUGAAAAUGCUUAAAUACAAUUAAAAGACGAGAAGACCCUAUAGAUUUUUAUUAUUGAAAUAAAUUUUUAAAUUUAAUUUAAUAAAAUAAUUUAAUUGGGGCGAUUUUAUAAUAUAAAUAACUUAAUUUUUUAAAACCAUAAAUAAUUGAAUGUUUGAUCUAAAAUUUUUAAAGGAAAGAUUAAAUUACCUUAGGGAUAACAGCGUAAUUUUAUUUAAGAGUUCAUAUCUAUAAUAAAGUUUGCGACCUCGAUGUUGAAUUAAGAUAAUAUAUUGGAGUAGAAAUUAAUAUAAUUAGUCUGUUCGACUAUUAAAUUCUUACGUGAUCUG